rnacentral:rRNA from 1 species
AUUGAACGCUGGCGGCAGGCCUAACACAUGCAAGUCGAGCGAGCGGCGGACGGGUGAGUAAUGUAUUGGCAUCUGCCCGAUAGACGGGGCUAACUACUGGAAACGGUGGCUACUACCGCAUACUAUCGGAUGACCCCACAUUGGAUUAGCUAGUCGGUGGGGUAAAGGCUCACCUAGGCGACGAUCACUAGCUGGUCUGAGAGGAUGAUCAGCCACACUGGGACUGAGACACGGACCAGACUCGUACGGGAGGCAGCAGUGGGGAAUAUUGGACAAUGGGCGAAAGCCUGAUGCAGCAAUGCCGCGUGUAGGAAGAAGGCCUUCGGGUUGUAAAGGACUGUCAGCGGGGAGGCGUUACCCGAAGAAGAAGCACCGGCUAACUCCGUGCCAGCAGCCGCGGUAAUAC